GACCCUCUCGGUUUGAGCGGGAUCUCUGGUAGACAGGUUUUGCCCCGUUUGAGAGUGACCCCCAAUCGCUGGGGCGUGGUGUCAGCUCUGGGCGGGGUGGAGAACCGGCUCGGCCCGGGGGUCAGCGCAGCAGCGGAGCCGGGGAACACGGCGGGGGAGGCCUUCAGCAGCGCCCCAGGACGCGCGACCGCCGCCCAGAGUCUCCGCCCCAGCUCCCUUCCUUCCCCUUCGGGCUGCUCCGUGCCCCGCUCAGGGCUCCCGGCCCCACCUUCCUGCUCAACAUCAGCUGAAAGGCUGUUCUGGCAAAACAUGCCCUCACGGGGACACAAUUGCUCAAGGAAAACAUUUCCCCUUCUUUUUCCUGGCACGGCUCUAGGCAGUUUCCCGAGCGGAGUAGUGACGAAAGCCAGAGGCUGUGGCCACUCGGGCAGUGACGACGGGACGCCCUUUGCCUCGGCUUUGCGGGCUCCAAGUGGGCCAUCCUUCACCUUCCCGACGGCAGAGUUGCAGCAGCUCGUCCUGGGAACGCUGUCCAGGCUGCAGGACCAGCCUCACGGAGCCACUCGGGAGCCCAAGGGUGUCCUGCUGCCCUGGUGCCUCCUCCUCGUGACCCCAUACAACCUAUGCACAUUUGUGUCCCAUCACUGGACUGACACCUUGGUUGUUGUUGGACAAACCCUGGUCUGCCCUACUUCCCUGGAGGAGUGUUUAUCCAGCUUAGUGCGUCUGCAGUAUCACAGAGGGGGCAGCAGCAACUGAGACAAUGGACCCCAGUGAAACGCCUUGGUGAGUGAUGACUAGAGCACAUCCAGGGGUGCUAAGCAUCCAAUGAUCAACACUUAAAUAGCCUCAGGAGGAACGAAGCUGGAACCUGUUGGAUGUAGAAUCACUUAGGAAGGGCUGUUAUCCCAUGCUGAGUUUCUCACUGCUGAUAAUGCUGCAACCAGUGAGUGGCUAUGUGACAGGAGGGAGAGGAGGGUGACUCCGUGUUGGUCUGCAGAGGAGGCCUUUACAUCCCUGAUUUGCUCUUCACAGUAGAAGUAAAACAUUUUCAUUAUUACAAGUAACUUUUUUAGUUCUAAAAUGAACACUUAUGGAGGAAGGCCUAAAAAAUCACCAAAGCUAAUUUUUUAUCAGUUUGGAUGGAAAUCACUUUUUUUUUUUCUUCUUCUAUUGCCUUGGAGUUCUUGCCAUAAGUUCUAAAGAGCAAUACAUAAUGGUGGUACCAUUGUGAGUGCCAUUCAGCUCCAAAAUCCCCCAGGGCAGGAUUUUAACAUGGGCUGCAGGGAGCGGAGAUGAUGACUUGGUGUUAGAUGAGGGAUGCUGUCUUGAGUCUGGGUAGGGUCAAGCAUGAGCCAGUAGUCCCCACUUUCUUCACAUCCUGGAGUCCCCCCAGCUUGUGGUAUGUUUUGCAUUGGAGAAUCAGUGUCAUGUCACCAAAACUAGAUGUGUGUCACUGAUGGGGUAAUGCAAUUCCAGAACCUUCCAUGUGUCCUCAAAUUGGCCACAGGCCAUAAAGCUUCCAGGGCAGUGGCCUGAGGUCCCACCUGGGUCAGCAAACUGGUAAGGAAACUCCCCUGCCAGACCAUUCAGAUCCUGCUCUGGGGGUCCCACUGGCACCACCCCCGCCUGCUGGGAUCACAGCCCCUUUGUAGCAGAGGCUUCAGUGACCCCACAGCCCCCAUGUGAGUCCCUGUACACCCCACAGUCCCCCAGUCAGAUCAGCUUCUCUCACCAGCUCAGCCCCAGGUUUCCCACAGCACAGUCCCAGACUCCAGUUCCUUUGUGGUGCACUGACACAGAACAGCUCGAGCUGGUGCCCUGGGGGGGAACGCCAGACAAAGCCCCCCGGGCUGUGCCCAUCCUGAUGCUGAUGUUUAGCCUGGCUCCUGUUCCUGGCUCCUGCAGAGUCCCAGAGCCCUCAUGUGGCUCCUUAGGGCCCUAAACCCUUGGUCAGGCAAAGGGUCAGUGCCAGGUCCCAGCCUCUUGCCAGGGACUGGCCAUUCCCCGCACUCUGAGCACAACCUGCAGCUUGCUGUAGCUCCCCGAGCUGGGCACUGGAUCAUUCCACAACAGCCCUCCCUUUAUUUUAGUGGAGCACACCUAAUAUAUUGACAGGAAAAAGAAAAAAACUUUCAGGACAUUUGAGUACUGCCCUUAUAUACAAUACUAUCAUAAGUCAAAAACAUAACAAAAUUAAGAUCAACACGGUGAAGUACAACAUAGACUCCUGUACACAAAUACUUAAUGAAAUCACAAAGGAUUCUCAGAAGUCAGUUAUUUAUCAACCCGUUGAUCACAGAUUCACAGAAUCAUUAAGGUUGAAAAAGACCUCUGAGACCACUAAGUCCAACCUAUGAUCGAGCACCACCUUGUCGACUAGACCAGAGCACUGAGCACCACAUCCAGUCUUUUCUUAAACACCUUCAGGAGCAGUGACUCCAACACCUCCAACAUUGGGCAGCCCAUUUCAGUGUCUAAUCACCUUUUCUGUGAAGAAAUUCUUCCUAAUGUCCAACGUAAACUUCUAGUGCAGCUUGAGACUGUCCUCUUGUCCUGUUGCUGGCUGCCAGCUAGAAAACUCCAACUCCCACCUGGUUCUACCCUCUUGUCAGGAAGUUGUGAAGAGUGACAAGGUCCCCUCUGAGCCUCCUUUUUUCCAGCCUGAGUGCCCCCAGCCCCCUCAGCUGCUCCUUAUCAGAGACUUGCUCCAGAUGCGUCACCAGCUUUGUUGCUCUUCUCUGGACUCAGCACCAAAAUGUCUUUCCUGAAUUGACUGGCCCAGAACUGCACACAGAACUCAAAGUGCUGCCUCACCAGUACUAAGUUCAGAAGAAGAAUCACCUCCCUGGUCCUGCUGGCCACACCUUGGCUGGUACAGGCCAGGUGCUGUUGACCUUCUUGACCUGAACACUCCUGGGCUUAUGUUCAGCCGCUGUUGACCAGCACCCCCAGGCCCUUCUCUGCUGGGAUCUUUCCAGCCACUCUACUCCAAACCUGCAUUGCUGCAGUGGAUUAUUGUGGCCAAAGUGUAGGACUUGGGAAUUGGUCUUUUUGAGCCUCAUGCUGUUGGUCUUGGCCCAUCAAUCCAGCCUGUGCGCAUCCCUCUGCAAGGUCUUCCUAGCCUCCAGCAGAUCAACACUCCCACCCAUCUUGGUGUCAUCCGUGAAUUUACUCAGGGUGGGCUCAAUCCCCUUAUUCAUAUCGUCAAUAAAUAUACUAAACAGGACUGGGCUCAACACUGAUCACUGGUCACUACUAGUGAAAAUAAUGAACAGAUCAUCUGCUGGUUGUUUGAUGUGACAAGAGUGUAUCCAAUUUUUCUUACCUAUAACUUUAACAGCAAAAUAGGAACACAGUAAAACAGCACAUGACCCCUCCUAUCAAGGUCCUAGUUUUGAUUUUCUAGAGAAUACCUUAUUUAAAAUUCCAUCUCCAGGCUGUAUAUCAUGUAUGUGUAUUUCAGGGGAUUGAGUUGAUAACACUGAGCAUACUUUGUUCUUUGAACCCUUUCUGAAUCUAUAUGACACGUUGGGUCAAUCUCCAUCCAAUAAGCUGGCCAUAGCUGGGAUAUAAGAUCCUGGCAUAGCUAAGUGCCUUCCAAAGAGAAUUUCUGUUUUUGUCAGCCCUAUGGCUUAUCACAGAGUAUUCUGAGUAUUCCACAGAGCCAAAUUUAAGGCUUUUGGACAUUUCAGAUUAGUGUACAUGCAUAUUUUCACUAUCUUUUCUUUUAAUGUUCUGUUAAUUCUCUCUACUUCUACUGAAAACUGUGAGUGAUGUGGUAUAUGUAAUUUCCUCUCUCUCCCUAAAAAUUUGAACAGCUGAUGAAUUAUAUUUGCUGUAAAAUGAGGAACUCAGUCUGUUUCAAAAAGCUCUGGAACUCUGAGUAUCAGGUAUAACUUCCUUUAGCCAGGCAUUUUCUACUCCUCCCAUGUCAGCCCUUCAUGUUGGAAGGGCUUCUGCCCAGCCUGGCAGCUGAUCUACCAUCACCAGCAAACUCCUGUUCCCAGCUAGAGGUAAAGUGUCCGUAGUAUCUGUGCAGCCACUGAAAAGGGAAGCAGGCCCAUGGUAACCCUCCUACUUUUGAGCUUGGUCUGUUACAUGAGAGUUUUGGGCAAGCUGCACAGCUAUUAGUAAAUUAUUUUGCAGCAGCCUUAAUUCCUGGAGCUGCACACACUUUUUGUCCCUCUGUGGGCUUUACCCUGAAACCAUCUGACCACAGUUGCUAAACAUUUCUCUAGCAGACCAGUUUUUCUCCAGCUGACCAUAUUCCAUCAUCAUUUUGAGUUGCCUCCCACUUUUCCCAUCUUUCCUUCUGCUCAGCCAUCCUUCUCAUAGAUAGAUAGAUUGAAAUUCUGUCAAUUUGGGCCUUUCACUCUCAACAACCAUUAGACAGAGUCACAGUGCCCCAUCAUCCCAGGAGCUGCCUAGCUGUGCCUUCACAACAGCAUCAGCUGGGGCAUUGCCUUUGCCAACCUCUGUAAUGCUUCUAGCAUGGGCUGGACAAGGCACUCCAGCAGUUCCUGCAGGGCAUUGUACAAACUGUCUAUUCUAGCAAACUGUCUAUUUCUUAUCCAUUGGAUACUCUGCUGAUGUGAAAAAAUCCCUGCUCUUUCCAUAACAUUCCUGCUGCAUGACAAAUACCAAAAGCAUAGCAAAUAUUAAAUGUAUAGCUGUUAACUCAGUUCUCUCUUCCCAGAUGUGCAGCAUGAGCCAAAGCUGCUCCCUGUGUGCUACUACUUGCUAGGAGUGGUUCAGCUUCUGUUACCUGUCCCUGGCAUCCCCACAGGUGGUCUACCCAGACGAUCACUGUCCUUGCAGGUAGCAAGAUGAGCCCAGAACUAGAUCUAGUUAUGUGAAGGAACAUCAGUUAAUGGAAAUCUUCAUCCCUUACUCAGACUGGAGAUGUGCUUCCCCACUGUCAGGUAGAGGCAUUUGGCUCACUGGAUUCAAGGUGUUGCAUCUUUUUAAGAGUAUCUGCUGUUAGGAGGAUUUGUUGUGAUAGAGCUGGUGUUGGAUACUGUUUCAACAGUAUCUCCACCUCUUGUGGGACAUGGACUGUUGCAGGAUAUCCCAGGGUGAGGGGGUGGCUUUUCUCUAAUGUUGCUGCUGCUGCCACCACCAAUUUAUGACAGGCUGGUGCUCCCCCUGCAACUGGAUCCAGAUGAACUGAGGAAUGUGUGACCAGUCUGGUGGGGUCCCACCUCCUAUGUUACUACUCUAGUGGCCAUUUCUUUAUGCCCAUGUGCACACGCGCACACACACACACACACACACACACGUAUAUGUAUAUAUACUUUUUUUUCAGUAGCAAAAGUCUUUUCCUUUUUACUGAAGGGGAAAUACAAAGCCUUAGGCAAUGGAACCAGUUUCCUACUCAGGUAGGACUUUUUGCCCACUGUCCUGGAAGAAAAUGAAAGUUUUCCCAAGUUAAUAGAAAUAGUAUUAGUGUCAGAAGGUUUUCUGCUGCUUUGCACAUGCCGCUAGUCCCAGCCAUAGGUGAUGCCCUCCCUUCAUGAAUAGAACACAGCAGAUCUUCAAGAACAGCUACAACAGUUCUCCUUACUCUGAGGGAAGUCUUCAAAUAUUACUUGUAUGUUUAUCAUCCCUUCACCUAAUAUAAAUGUCCAUGAAGAAAAAUGUGCUUUUACAAAUGUUCUUUUAGCAAUAUACAAAAAUAGCAACGUUAUAAGCAGAUGCAUGUCGACAGGGAAUGUCAUAUACAUACAAAAAGAAAGUGGUGUGUGAGCUGAUACACACCUGGAGAACAUGUUCCAUGGUAUUUCUGGUUUACAAUCCAUUCAAAUAGUUACAACU